rnacentral:rRNA from 1 species
UACGUAGGGUGCGAGCGUUGUCCGGAUUUAUUGGGCGUAAAGCGAGCGCAGGUGGUUUAUUAAGUCUGGUGUAAAAGGCAGUGGCUCAACCAUUGUGUGCAUUGGAAACUGUUAGACUUGAGUGCAGUAGAGGAGAGUGGAAUUCCAUGUGUAGCGGUGAAAUGCGUAGAUAUAUGGAGGAACACCGGUGGCGAAAGCGGCUCUCUGGACUGUAACUGACACUGAGGCUCGAAAGCGUGGGUAGCAAACAGG